rnacentral:sRNA from 1 species
UCCAGGUGUGGUGGCGCAUGCCUGUAAUCCCAGCGAUUUGGGAGGCUGAGGCAGGAGAAUCGCAAGUUCAAGGCCAGCCUCAGCAACUUAGCAAGGCUCUGAGCAACUUAGCGAGAUUCUGUCUCAA